UACGGGGGGGGCAAGCGUUGUUCGGAAUUACUGGGCGUAAAGGGCUCGUAGGCGGCCAACUAAGUCAGACGUGAAAUCCCUCGGCUUAACCGGGGAACUGCAUCUGAUACUGGAUGGCUUGAGUUCGGGAGAGGGAUGCGGAAUUCCAGGUGUAGCGGUGAAAUGCGCAGAUAUCAGGAAGAAUAUCCGUGGCGAAGGCGGCUCUCUGGUACGGCACUGACGCUGAGACGCGAAAGCGUGGGGAGCGAACAGG
rnacentral:rRNA from 1 species